rnacentral:rRNA from 1 species
GGGGAAUAUUGGACAAUGGGGGCAACCCUGAUCCAGCCAUGCCGCGUGAGUGAUGAAGGCCCUAGGGUUGUAAAGCUCUUUCGGCGGGGACGAUAAUGACGGUACCCGCAGAAGAAGCCCCGGCUAACUUCGUGCCAGCAGCCGCGGUAAUACGAAGGGGGCUAGCGUUGCUCGGAAUCACUGGGCGUAAAGCGCACGUAGGCGGAUCUUUAAGUCAGGGGUGAAAUCCCAAGGCUCAACCUUGGAACUGCCUUUGAUACUGGGGAUCUCGAGUCCGGAAGAGGUUGGUGGAACUCCGAGUGUAGAGGUGAAAUUCGUAGAUAUUCGGAAGAACACCAGUGGCGAAGGCGGCCAACUGGUCCGGCACUGACGCUGAGGUGCGAAAGCGUGGGGAGCAAAC